rnacentral:rRNA from 1 species
UACGAAGGGGGCUAGCGUUGUUCGGAAUUACUGGGCGUAAAGCGCACGUAGGCGGAUAUUUAAGUCAGGGGUGAAAUCCCGGGGCUCAACCCCGGAACUGCCUCUGAUACUGGGUAUCUUGAGUGUGGUAGAGGUAAGUGGAAUUGCGAGUGUAGAGGUGAAAUUCGUAGAUAUUCGCAGGAACACCAGUGGCGAAGGCGGCUUACUGGACCACAACUGACGCUGAGGUGCGAAAGCGUGGGGAGCAAACAGG